rnacentral:rRNA from 1 species
ACACCAGACUCCUACGGGAGGCAGCAGUGGGGAAUAUUGCACAAUGGGGGAAACCCUGAUGCAGCGACGCCGCGUGAGUGAAGAAGUAUUUCGGUAUGUAAAGCUCUAUCAGCAGGGAAGAAAAACCGACCAUAGGGUCGCUAGACGGUACCUGAUUAAGAAGCCCCGGCUAACUACGUGCCAGCAGCCGCGGUAAUACGUAGGGGGCAGGCGUUAUCCGGAUUUACUGGGUGUAAAGGGAGCGUAGACGGCGGUGCAAGCCAGAUGUGAAAGCCCGGGGCUCAACCCCGGGACUGCAUUUGGAACUGUGCUGCUAGAGUGUCGGAGAGGCAGGCGGAAUUCCUAGUGUAGCGGUGAAAUGCGUAGAUAUUAGGAGGAACAUCAGUGGCGAAGGCGACUUUCUGGACUGUAACUGACGCUGAGGCACGAAAGUGUGGGGAGCAAACAGGAUUAGAUACCCCAGUA